rnacentral:rRNA from 1 species
UACGUAGGCAGCGAGCGUUGUUCGGAGUUACUGGGCGUAAAGGGUGUGUAGGCGGUUCUCUAAGUUUGGUGUGAAAUCUCCCGGCUCAACCGGGAGGGUGCGCCGAAAACUGGGGGACUCGAGUGCGGGGAGUGGGAGAGUAGAAUUCCUGGUGUGAGCGGUGAAAUGCGUAGAUAUCAGGAGGAAUACCGGUGGUGUAGACGGCUCUCUGGACCGCCAACUGACGCUGAGACACGAAAGCGUGGGUAGCAAACAGG